UUGAACGCUGGCGGAAUGCUUUACACAUGCAAGUCGAACGGCAGCACGGGGGCAGCCCUGGUGGCGAGUGGCGAACGGGUGAGUAAUACAUCGGAACGUGCCCGGUCGUGGGGGAUAACGUAGCGAAAGUUACGCUAAUACCGCAUACGAUCUGAGGAUGAAAGCGGGGGACCUUCGGGCCUCGCGCGAUCGGAGCGGCCGAUGUCAGAUUAGGUAGUUGGUGGGGUAAAGGCCUACCAAGCCGACGAUCUGUAGCUGGUCUGAGAGGACGACCAGCCACACGGGGACUGAGACACGGCCCAGACUCCUACGGGAGGCAGCAGUGGGGAAUUUUGGACAAUGGGCGCAAGCCUGAUCCAGCCAUUCCGCGUGCAGGACGAAGGCCUUCGGGUUGUAAACUGCUUUUGUACGGAACGAAAAGGCUCUGGCUAAUACCUGGGGCUCAUGACGGUACCGUAAGAAUAAGCACCGGCUAACUACGUG
rnacentral:rRNA from 1 species